rnacentral:rRNA from 1 species
UACAGAGGGUGCAAGCGUUGUUCGGAAUUAUUGGGCGUAAAGGGCGCGUAGGCGGUGCGGUAAGUCUGCGGUGAAAUCUCCCGGCUCAACUGGGAGGCUGCCGUGGAAACUGCCGUGCUUGAGUGUGGGAGAGGUGAGUGGAAUUCCCGGUGUAGCGGUGAAACGCGUAGAUAUCAGGAGGAACACCGGUGGUGUAAACGGCUUUCUGGACCAUAACUGACACUGAGGCACGAAAGCGUGGGUAGCAAACAGG